UCAAUCUCUGUUCUCUAACAUCGAUAUAGAUGUAAAGUUUUAUCGCAAAAUUAUUGAAAAAGUAAAAUUUUAACAAAAAAUUAUUAAAAAAUAAAAGUAUUGAUAUUAUUGUUCUUAAAGUAUUGAUAUUCAUCAAUAAAAAUGUCUCAGAUAAAAAAUUAGGAUGAUUAUAUCAAGAAAGGAUAGUGAAGAUGGAGUACGGAAUACUUAAUAAGACAUCACUAAAGAGACAACAAAUAAGAGCGUCCGCUCUCGUGAUAAUACUGUCAAUUACAAGCGAUUCAUCUUCAGCUGAUGAAAAUAAUAGGAGCGUGCUCCAGGAUAUAAAUAUUAUUAAUUACCUGCGAAAUUUUGAAAAACAAAAAUGUAAAAAUAAGUACUUAUGUAAAAAUAUUUGGUAUUUCAUACUUGUUAAUAUGUUAAGAUUAAUGAUUGAUUUUACAAAAAUUCUAAAUAAAUGAAUUUCACACUA